rnacentral:lncRNA from 1 species
CACCUGUUAUCUUAACGGGUCAUUAACAGGUCGGGUCACUUUUAAGAAAAAUAUUUUUUUUUCUUAAAUUUGCACAUACCACACAUUGUCACAUAAAUAUUACUUCAAAACAUUAAAACACAUUUGUCGUUUAAGUACUACAUCUACACUCGAAAAUAAGAGCCUCAUAAAAAAAACAUUCAUACACUACUAAUCUAUUACAAAUAUUAAAUGUGCGAGGAUAUGCAAAAUGAAAGCGUUUUUGUUUUCAAGGUUGUGAAGCCUUUCUCAAAAGUUUAAACCUUGCCAAGGGAACUCAAAGCUUAAUGAAAGUGACCCACUAGUGUGUUUAUUCGUACUUUCAUUAAGUAUAACAUAAGAUUUUGUGGUAUCCACUAGUGUAAAUAUUUUAAAUUGAAGAUCGAAUUCAUUCAUUGUAUUCAUAUAGGGUCAAGGAGUGUAGCUGUAAAAAAUUAUCAAAAUCGGAGUUAAAAUAACCGUUAAAUUGUGAUUUUCGUUUAUAAUCGUCGAAAAGUUUUGUCCCGUUACUUAAUCUUUAAAUGUUUGUUUUUUGCAAUUUUUGGCGUAUGCGAUCUCGAAGCAUAUACAAACAAGUAUAAUGGUUAGAUCGUUGAAACUAGUUUUGUAGAAUGCGUAUCCCAUCAAAACAAUAGAUUCACUAACACUUAAGAGUUUAUUCUUACUUUCAUCAAAUAUAACAUAAGAUUUUGUGGUAUCCACUAGUGUAAAUAUUUUAAAUUGAAGAUCGAAUUUAUUCAUUGUAUUUAUAUAGGGUAAAGGAGUGUAGCUGUAAAAAAAUCAUCAAAAUCGGAGUUAAAAUAACCGUUAAAUCGUGAUUUUUCGUUUAUAAUCGUCGAAAAGUUUUGUCUCAUUACUUGAUCUCUGAAUGUUUGUUUUUUGCAAUUUUUGGCGUAUGCGAUCUCGAAGUAUGUACAAACAUGUUUGACGGUCGGAUCGUUGAAACUAGUUUCGUAGAAUGCGUAUCCCAUCAAAACAAUAGAUUCACUAACACUUAAAGAGUUUAUUCAUACUUUCAUCAAGUAUAAUAUAAGAUUUUGUGGUAUCCACUAGUGUAAAUAUUUUAAAUUGAAGAUCGAAUUCAUUCAUUGUAUUUAUAUAGGGUCAAGGAGUGUAGCUGUAAAAAAUCAUCAAAAUCGGAGUUAAAAUAACCGUUAAAUCGUGAUUUUUCGUCUAUAAUCGUCAAAAAGUUUUGUCCCAUUACUUCAUCUCUGAAUGUUUGUUUUUUGCAAUUUUUGGCAUAUGCGAUCUCGAAGCAUAUACAAACAAGUUUGACGGUUGGAUCGUUGAAACUAGUUUCGCAAAAUGCGUAUCUCAUCAAAACAAUAUAUUCACUAACACUUAAGAGUUUAUUAAUAUUUCUAUUAAGUAUAACAUAAGAUUUUAUGGUAUCCACUAGUGUAAAUAUUU